UACGAAGGGGGCUAGCGUUGCUCGGAAUUACUGGGCGUAAAGCGCACGUAGGCGGCUUUCUAAGUCGGGGGUGAAAUCCUGGAGCUCAACUCCAGAACUGCCUUCGAUACUGGAGAGCUCGAGUCCGGGAGAGGUGAGUGGAACUGCGAGUGUAGAGGUGAAAUUCGUAGAUAUUCGCAAGAACACCGGUGGCGAAGGCGGCGAUCUGGGUCGAUACUGACGCUGAGGUGCGAAAGCGUGGGGAGCAAACAGG
rnacentral:rRNA from 1 species